CAGCAGUCGCCGCGGGAACACGAAGGGGGCUAGCGUUGUUCGGAUUUACUGGGCGUAAAGCGCACGUAGGCGGACUUUUAAGUCAGGGGUGAAAUCCCGGGGCUCAACCCCGGAACUGCCUUUGAUACUGGGAGUCUUGAGUUCGAGAGAGGUGAGUGGAAUUGCGAGUGUAGAGGUGAAAUUCGUAGAUAUUCGCAGGAACACCAGUGGCGAAGGCGGCUCACUGGCUCGAUACUAACGCUGAGGUGCGAAAGCGUGGGGAGCAAACAGGAUUAGAUACCCCUGUAGUCCCUGUCUCUUAUAC
rnacentral:rRNA from 1 species